CACUCUGUCUUUGGAAGUCACCAGCAGCAGUUGCAGUUCGUUUAAGAUCAGCAGAUCGUCUUUUUGAUUAUGAAGAUGAUAAUAACCAUAAUGAUCAUCGCGGUUUUGGUGUGGCUGCAAGCAGCAUUAGUUGAUGGGUGCACAAGAAUAUAUGCAGAAUGUAAAAGCACGGAUUGCUGCCCAGGGCUUCGUUGUCAUAUUGUCGAUCAGUUCAAGAGUUGCAGAGAGGUAGAAUUAAUCAAAUAAUUCCAUGAACUUCUUCUGAAUUCAGCAGAAAGUAAUUCGCUAAUUUUAUCUCUUGUCUGUCCCAUGCAUCAAGACAUGAUAAUUCCAAGUGUAUUUUGUGCGUUUUGUUGCUAAGAAAGAUCUUGUCAGACAUUGUCUACUCUGUUUGAUGAGUAAAGGAUAGAGAAAUGAUUUACCUGUGUCAACUGAUUUUGACUGUCGUGAGAGCAAGGUUUUCAUUGCUUAAAACUUACUUUUUAGUGUAGUGGAUUCAUCUACCUUCUGCUGACGACUCCAAGCAGACCUCAUGGUUGUGUGCUCAGAGAAAGUUUUCCUAUACACGGCUAAGGGCAGCCUGUGAUGCACGAUCGCCGAUAUUUUUUGUAGCUUUUUAUCCUCAACAAACAAAACUCUUCUCCUCAGAGCAAGUAGAGUUAUAUUGCCGCUUUAAAAAAAUAUUAGUUUGAAAAAAGCUUCAAUCCUGUACACUUGGUGAACUUUA